CCUACGGGCGGCAGCAGUGGGGAAUAUUGCACAAUGGGGGAAACCCUGAUGCAGCAACGCCGCGUGAGUGAAGAAGUCUUUCGGUAUGUAAAGUUCUAUCAGCAGGGAAGAAAAUGACGGUACCUGACUAAGAAGCCCCGGCUAACUACGUGCCAGCAGCCGCGGUAAUACGUAGGGGGCAAGCGUUAUCCGGAUUUACUGGGUGUAAAGGGGGCGCAGACGGCGAGGCAAGCCAGAAGUGAAAGGCCAGGGCUCAACACCGGGACUGCUUUGGAAACUGUGUAGCUAGAGUGCAGGAGAGGUAAGUGGAAUUCCUGGUGUAGCGGUGAAAUGCGUAGAUAUUAGGAGGAACACCAGUGGCGAAGGCGGCUUACUGGACUGUAACUGACGUUGAGGCCCGAAGGCGUGGGGAGCAAACAGGAUUAGAUACCCGGGUAGUC
rnacentral:rRNA from 1 species